CCGUGAGGGAAAGAUGAAAAGGACUUUGGAAAGAAAAUUAAAAGUGCCUGAAAUCUCUAAAAGGGAAACCAAUGGGACCAGUUUCUUGUUGUGAGAUUGUUCUACACUAUGGUGAUUUUCCGUUCCGCAAGGGCCGUUGAUCUGAUCUGGACGUCUGGGGUGUUUCUCACUCUAAGGUGUCAUCGUGGACUCCGUGUUAUGCGAAUAUCGCCAGUGCCUUGGGUCAAUGCUUCUGUGUUGCUUAUUGCCUGGUUUACAGCCUUACCCCGGAUAUAGGGUGCGAGCAGUUUUCACUGCGCCAUAAUAGUGGUGAAGGGUGGGUGGAGUCCUAGAGUGCUCUCUUCCGAUCUGCUAUGAGGUGUAAUAUUUCUGUUCCGAAACGAUGGCUAAAUGGUUUUAUUCUACCCGUCUUGAAACACGGACCAAGGAGUCGACUUCUAUCGCAAGUAUGCGGGUGGUAAACCUGUAUGCGGAAUGAAAGUAAGAGUUACGAAUUUUUACGCUGUAACGACCGACUUCGAUCUAUUGAGAGAGGUUUGAGUUUUAGCGAUAAGGGUCGGACCCGAAAGAUGGUGAACUAUGC
rnacentral:rRNA from 1 species